rnacentral:rRNA from 1 species
UACGAGUGCCCCAAGCGUUAUCCGGAUUCACUGGGUUUAAAGGGUGCGUAGGCGGGUAAGUAAGUCCGUGGUGAAAUCUCUGAGCUUAACUCAGAAACUGCCGUGGAUACUAUUUGCCUUGAAUAUUGUGGAGGUGAGCGGAAUAUGUCAUGUAGCGGUGAAAUGCUUAGAUAUGACAUAGAACACCAAUUGCGAAGGCAGCUCACUACACAAUCAUUGACGCUGAGGCACGAAAGCGUGGGGAUCAAACAGG